AGAAAGACAAAGAAAACGAAAAAGCAUGGAUUGCUGAUUAAGGCUUCAAGAUGUGUCUAAUUCUUUAUCCUUUGAGUUUGGUUUGGCGAAUUAGAUUUCAACACGUAUUCAUGUGUGAGGAUUAGACUUGUUCGAUGAGAGUUUUGGUUUGCAAGAUUUCU